AAAUAGUUUAGGAUAUGGGUUGCUAUAGCUUUAGGCCUGAAGAGGACCUUCAUUGGUCCUAGAACGGCCUGAGGUAGAGGGAUUUUAGUCGGUAGGUCCUAGGACUUCUUCCUCGGGAAUACGACACUACCCAGUCGUACGGACGGCUGGGUGUCUUUUGAAGAUUUCCCCUCUUCCACGAAA
rfam:Agrilus planipennis Contig9422, whole genome shotgun sequence.